AACGAACGCUGGCGGCAGGCUUAACACAUGCAAGUCGAGCGCACCGCCAGGGGGGUGGCUGCCGGGUGAGUAACGCGUGGGAACGUACCCUUAUCUUCGGGAUAGCUCCGGGAGACUGGGAUUAAUACCGAAAAUGCGCUUUGGGGGACGGAAAUAUCUGAUAAGGUUCGGCUCGAGAUGGAUUCGCGGGUUGGUAGGGUAAAGGCCAACCAAGGCGACGAUACAUAGCUGGUCUGAGAGGAUGGGCAGACACAUUGGGACUGAGACACAGCCCAAACUCCUACGGGAUGCAGGAGAGGGGGAUAUAGGACCGUGGGCGCAAUCCUGAUCCAGCCCUGCCGGGUGAGUUAUGAAGGCCUUAGGGUUGUAAUGCGCUUGCAACGGUGAAGAUAAUGACGGUAUCCGGAGAAGAAGCCCCGGCUAACUUCGUG
rnacentral:rRNA from 1 species